GAUGAACGCUGGCGGCGUGCCUAAUACAUGCAAGUCGAACGAGGUGCUUUUGUAGCAAUACGAGAGUAUCCUAGUGGCGAACGGGUGAGUAACGCGUUGGUGACCUGCCCCAAAGUGUGGGAUAACAGUCCGAAAGGAUUGCUAAUACCUCAUGUGGUCAUUGGGUUUAGAAACUAAUGACUAAAGCAGCAAUGCGCUUUGGGAGGGACCUGCGUCCCAUCAGCUAGUUGGUGAGGUAAUGGCUCACCAAGGCGACGACGGGUAGGGGACCUGAGAGGGUGACCCCCCACAAUGGAACUGAAACACGGUCCAUACACCUACGGGUGGCAGCAGUAGGGAAUAUUGCUCAAUGGGCGAAAGCCUGAAGCAGCAACGCCGCGUGUGCGAUGAAGGUCUUCGGAUCGUAAAGCACUUUUCUGCGAGAUGAGAAAGGACAGUAUCGUAGGAAUAAGUCUCGGCUAACUACGUGC
rnacentral:rRNA from 1 species